AGUUGUGGAGGAGAGAAAGUACUGACUGUAGCAUGCUAUCUUCCUGAUGUCUAGGGUUGUUUCAACUGAUCUGGUUAAGUGGGUACUUCAUUCCUCCCGCACCAUCAUUUCCUCCUUCGCCACUCCGUGUGUGUCCCUUCCAAAACUGCAGGCUGGGUUGAAGAGGACAAUCUUCCAGAUAGAGAAGGAAAUACGAUUCUUGGUUCUAAGGUAUAUGAGAAACAACAUUUCCCAGGUAGAACCUACAAACAAACCUCAAGAAAAUUGCUUCACAGUACCAGCUAUGAUUCAGCACUUCCACUCCUAGAUAAUAUUAAAAGUAUAUACAUGU
rnacentral:snRNA from 1 species